UACGAAGGGUGCAAACGUUGCUCGGAAUUAUUGGGCGUAAAGAGCUCGUAGGCGGUGUGUCGCGUCGGCCGUGAAAACCUGCAGUUUAACUGUGGGCUUGCGGUCGAUACGGGCAUCACUGGAGUUCGGCAGGGGAGACUGGAAUUCCUGGUGUAGCGGUGAAAUGCGCAGAUAUCAGGAGGAACACCGGUGGCGAAGGCGGGUCUCUGGGCCGAUACUGACGCUGAGGAGCGAAAGCGUGGGGAGCGAACAGG
rnacentral:rRNA from 1 species